UACGGAGGGUGCAAGCGUUAUCCGGAUUCACUGGGGUUAAAGGGUGCGUGGGUGGGUUGGUAAGUCAGUGGUGAAAUCUCCAGGCUUAACUUGGAAACUGCCAUUGAUACUAUCAAUCUUGAAUACCGUGGAGGUCAGCGGAAUAUGUCAUGUAGCGGUGAAAUGCUUAGAGAUGACAUAGAACACCAAUUGCGAAGGCAGCUGGCUACACGAAUAUUGACACUGAUGCACGAAAGCGUGGGGAUCAAACAGG
rnacentral:rRNA from 1 species